UACUAGAGUAGCACUCGCAUAUCAAUAAGCGGAGGAAAAGAAACUAACAAGGAUUCCCUUAGUAACGGCGAGUGAAGCGGGAAGAGCUCAAAUUUGAAAUCUUCAAGGGUUCUACCUUGACGAAUUGUAGUUUAUAAGAAGUGUUUUCUGUUAGUAGAGGUGGCUAAAAGUUCUUUGGAAUAGGACAUCAUAGAGGGUGAGAAUCCCGUAUUUGGUCAUUCUUUCUAGCUUUGUGAUACACUUUCAACGAGUCGGAUUGUUUGGGAAUGCAGUCCAAAAUGGGUGGUAAAUUUCAUCUAAAGCUAAAUAUUGGCGAGAGACCGAUAGCGAACAAGUACCGUGAGGGAAAGAUGAAAAGAACUUUGAAAAGAGAGUUAAACAGGUACGUGAAAUUGUCAAAAGGGAAGCGUUUGACACCAGUGUUGUUUUUCCGAAAAUCAAUUACGAAUGUUUUGUUUUUGAGGAGUUAUGACUUCAUCGGCUUGCUUCUCUCUUUACGAAACUUUCUUAAUGCACUUUUCGGUUAACAAGUCAACAUCAAUUUCUUUUGUUGUAAAAGGGUAUGAGGAAGGUGGCUUUCUUUUCGGAGAAAGUGUUUAUAGCCUUGUGACUUCUGCAAUCGGAGAGAUUGAGGUCUGCAGCGUAGAUCCUUCGGGGUUAGAUACGCUUGUGCUAAGUUAUAGCUUUUCAUAGACAACUUGUUGAUUAUGUUAAGUCUUGUAGCUUACUCGCUUAUGCUUAUUUUACCUACGCUUAGGAUGUUGAAGAUGUAGCACAUCAU
rnacentral:rRNA from 1 species